rnacentral:rRNA from 1 species
UUGUCUCAAAGAUUAAGCCAUGCAUGUCUCAGUACAAGCCGAAUUAAGGUGAAACCGCGAAAGGCUCAUUAAAUCAGUUAUGGUUCCUUAGAUCGUACCCACAUUUACUUGGAUAACUGUGGUAAUUCUAGAGCUAAUACAUGCAAACAGAGCUCCGACCGGAGACGGAAGGAGCGCUUUUAUUAGAUCAAAACCAAUCGGUGGCGAUUUCCGUCGUCAUCGUACAACUUGGUGACUCUGAAUAACUUUACGCUGAUCGCACGGUCUCGCACCGGCGACGCAUCUUUCAAAUGUCUGCCUUAUCAACUGUCGAUGGUAGGUUCUGCGCCUACCAUGGUUGUAACGGGUAACGGGGAAUCAGGGUUCGAUUCCGGAGAGGGAGCCUGAGAAACGGCUACCACAUCCAAGGAAGGCAGCAGGCGCGCAAAUUACCCACUCCCGGCACGGGGAGGUAGUGACGAAAAAUAACGAUACGGGACUCAUCCGAGGCCCCGUAAUCGGAAUGAGUACACUCUAAACCCUUUAACGAGGAUCAAUUGGAGGGCAAGUCUGGUGCCAGCAGCCGCGGUAAUUCCAGCUCCAAUAGCGUAUAUUAAAGUUGUUGCGGUUAAAAAGCUCGUAGUCGAAUCUGUGUCCCGCGCCGCCGGUUCAUCGUUCGCGGUGUUAACUGGCGUGUCGCGGGACGUCCUGCCGGUGGGCUUAGCUCGAAAGGGCGGCCCGACUCAAUCCCGCCGCGGUGCUCUUCAUUGAGUGUCGAGGUGGGCCGGCACGUUUACUUUGAACAAAUUAGAGUGCUUAAAGCAGGCUAAAACUUCGCCUGAAUACUGUGUGCAUGGAAUAAUGGAAUAGGACCUCGGUUCUAUUUUGUUGGUUUUCGGAACCCCGAGGUAAUGAUUAAUAGGAACGGAUGGGGGCAUUCGUAUUGCGACGUUAGAGGUGAAAUUCUUGGAUCGUCGCAAGACGGACAGAAGCGAAAGCAUUUGCCAAAAACGCUUUCAUUGAUCAAGAACGAAAGUUAGAGGUUCGAAGGCGAUCAGAUACCGCCCUAGUUCUAACCAUAAACGAUGCCAGCUAGCGAUCCGCCGACGUUCCUCCGAUGACUCGGCGGGCAGCUUCCGGGAAACCAAAGCUUUUGGGUUCCGGGGGAAGUAUGGUUGCAAAGCUGAAACUUAAAGGAAUUGACGGAAGGGCACCACCAGGAGUGGAGCCUGCGGCUUAAUU